GACUUCCUAAAUCUCAUUCAUACUUUGGCCAAAGAUUCUUAAUCAUAUCAUAGAGUAUUCUCCCUUAAACGGUUUGAAGGUUAGAGAUCCCUUGUUGCGCAUUCACUUGCCUCCAUGGCUAAGUAGCUUAACCCCAACGAUGCCGUGGACACCCGCGGAUGGGGUGACUUUGACAUAAUCAAAGAUCAAGGACUUAGCCACAAGACAGCUGUGAUGCCUCAGGUCAAAGGACUACUUUGCAUUAUCCCAACCAUGAGUUCUCAUGUGACAUGAAUAUCAGAACUCUUCGUUGAUCGUGUUCAGUGAACUCAUUCUUUAUUGAGCACCUACGUACUUGUCUUGAUGUCACACACACCAAUGACUCGAGACUAGUCACUCUCCUUGAGAGAAGACACAUCACGUACUGAUCUUAACGGAGUGUCAAUGCCCAAUUGGCAAUCCUAUGAUCAGGAACGUUUAGGAUGUGUCUACGAAAGAAUGGUCUCAUGAAUCUAACUUCUUUAGAUCGUAUUCUCCCAAUCACAUAUUCCUUGGACUUAUCGUUUAAGCAUAUAACAUUUAUAUGAGACGGCUUAAAACAAUAAUUUAUGCCCUUGAUAUUAAACUAGAUUAGUUUAACAUGUGAAAUGUCCGUAAAGUAUCAUCAUAUGAUUGGUUUUAGGGCACAUUUCCAACAAUCUCCCACUUGCACUAGAGCCAAUCAGCUUGUUCAUCAGUGAUGAUACCUCUUAUGUAGUCAUUUCAUAAAUGGCUGAGUAGUAGGCCUAGACAAUGGAUAUCUAUAUGUUAUCCAUAGAAGCAACCUUGAGAAUAACGACGUCACCAUUAUACAUGAUUCUCUCAAUCAUGUUGGUUCAGUCUCUCAUUUGAGUUCGGACCUUGAUGAGACCUUGAUUCCCUGGCUUGAGCUAUCGCCCCAUUAGUGUCAUACACUUUCUGGUUGGAACCGAAUAGAGAGUUCAUAAAUGAACUUUCCCAUCCAAACAACAUUGUUGUAAACUUCUAUAUGGCAAUAUAUUUUGCAUUCAUAAUGGAACACACUAAAGUCAUUACUUUAAUGUUUCCAUCCAAAUAUCUCUUUAGUCAUAAUAAAGAGAUAUCUGUUUAUCUCUUCAUUCAUAAUGAAGAAACAUCCAAUGAUGGAUUAGAUUCAUAAUCUAAUACAUUUACGCUUCCAUUACGUUACUCUAAUUGUUCCUCGAUCUUUGAGGAAUUUAUCCUUUAGUAUUUCUUAAAUACUUAAGGACUCACUUGACAGUUGCCAUGGUUCUGAUCCUGGGCUUGCACUGAUAUCGUCUUGCACCUUUCUAGGUACAACUCAUAUCAAUGUUUUUCAUACAAUAUGAAAUACAUAAAUCACCUUUCUGCGUAUGCAUAAAGGAUUCUAUUUACACAUUAUUUCUUUGGGAGUCAAAGAGUACGUUCUCUUUGAGAAGAGCAACUCCUUAGUCUUACUAGAGUUGUCCAUUUGAUUGAAGUUCAUCAUCAUAUGAGAAACUUCCUAUCAUCUUUUGUCUAUAUUUAGGGCUUGAUAUAAUCCAAUUAUAUCCUAAAAUCUAUCAAUAUAGAUUUCCAUCCCAUGUAUAUAUACUAUGUCUCCCAUAUACAUUCUAUCUUCAUAUAAUGUUUUAAAGUCAUAACUUUAACGAAGAAGUAUUCUUUUCAUUUCCAAAAUUAAUAUAUCAUAUAUAUAUUUUAAAUUUUAGGAACAUUAUUAACUCCCACUAAUCUUUUGUAAACCUAGUAAACAAAAGAUUCAUUUACAUCUUUAUGAGAAAUCAAACGAUAUGAUCCUUUUCUCAUAAGAUGCUUAUAGCUCCCAUUAGCUUGCUAAGAUCCAUGAUGGAUGGAUCUCUACAACUUACAUGUCUUGUGAUUUAUAGUUUUAGACAUAUAUUAUCAAGACUAUCUUAAUAAUGGUUUCGGAAACCCAUAUAAUGUCCAAACAUUGAAUCACAAUUUAGUUGUAGCUAGCAAUCUUUGAAUUAAUUGAAACCUAGACUAUCUCAAAGAUGGUUUCUUCAUAGUCAACCAUUCUCUUUGAUUGUAGUCACCUUAAGCUACCAAUUAGCUUAUGAAGGUUUCAUUAUUUCGGGUCAAAUGGUACUUUACCAUUUCCUUGAGUAUAUAUCAUAUAUACACUCAAUGUAGUCAAAAGGAUUUUCAUUCUUAUUUCUUUCAAAUUAAGAGGUGUAACUCUAUGACAUAGUCAUAAAGUUCAAACCAUUCAACCGAGACCGUUUAUAAAUCCUCUCGACUACCUUGGAGCCUUUGGUAUAGGAACUAGGUUGUUAUAUUUGUUGAUUACUUUCUUGUCUCUCAAAGAACCCAUCCUUUGAGUUCUAUCUCUCGUUCAUUAGCUCUUAGGCAAAUCACAUUGUAGGAUUACAAUGAACUACUCAACAAAACAACAUUUGUUAGUUGGUUUAUAGAAGCGAUAUCCAAAAGUUAAUUUAAGGAUAUCCCACAAGAUUGUUAUCAAACAAAUAUUGCUAAUUAGCACACAACCCCAAAUCUUAACAUGCUUAAGAUUUGUCUUUCUUUCCAACUACAUCUUAUGGAGUCAUGAAAAUUUUGGAAAGAUCUUCUAAUUUACAAUCAUAUUGUUUUUAGAAGUAUAUAUAUCCUAUAUAUGGGUAAUAGAUAACAUCUAACGAACUAAAUCUUAUUCAAGUUCGUUCUUCUCCUAAUGGAGAAAUUCAUUAUCUUAUGAUGCUUCUUUCCUUGAUAUCUUUCAAGGAAACUCAUCUAAAGUGUUACUUUUCCUUGGAUCAAAUCUAAGGAGGUAAAUACUUUAGACGUCUUACUCAUUAACUUACAUUUCUUGAAUUCUUUGAAACCUUUUGCAAAGUAUUCGGACUUGUGUUUAUUCAAAAUAAACUAUAGUCCAACCGAGAGUGAUCUUCGGUGAACGUCAUACAACAUGAGUAGUGUUAUGUUGUGGACAAGUGCCACUAACAUCUAAGUGAAUUAACCUAAAAAACUUUGUGAUUCUUUCUUCUUUCCAAAAGAAUAAAGAUUCGAACAUUUCGCCUCUAUACAAUUUUAAUAAGAAGGUAUUGGAUCCGGAUCUAACAAUCCAAAGCAUCCAUUUUUCACCAACUCAUAACUUAUGUUUUAGAGGUAUCACAACUCAGUUGGGAUUAGUCACUACCUUGCAACCUUUUGGGUUUUAAGCAUCAUUAUAUUCUAAACAGUUAACACUACCAUAUCAUCUCUAUUAUAGAGACAAUCAAUUAGAUUACUAUAAUCCAAUCAUUGAUUAAUAAAGAACAAUGUUUUGUCAAACAAAGCAUUCAUCCAUCUCGACUAUAGUGACGGAAUUAAGUUCCUUAAAAUUGGAAUGUAAAGACUAUCUUUGGUUUUUCCAAUUUCUUUGGUAGUUCAUAUGAGGAAGUAAGUACUAUCUACUUUCGCAGAGAUCUAUAUUUUAUUCACGUUCACGUUCCGAAUGUGAAGCACCUUUUCUUCUCUCAUAUAUCUUCUACUUCUUAUUAGUCACACUUUUACAACGAUUGUAAAACAUAGUUACUAAUACGGAAUCAAGCAUUCAAGUAGAAGAACCAACUGUUUUGAACUAUUCAAGAACAAUUUACAACACCUUCGAAAGGUGUGUUCUUGACACUUGCAAGACAUUUCUUGCAAAUACCCCUUCCAAUGUCCAUCCUUUUAUAAAGAAAGUUUGUUCCCUUGGAGUUAAUUUUUAUCUUCUUCAUUUGACUUUCACCUUUGACUACAAUAGUCAUGGUCCCUAAACUCCCACUAUCUCUCUUGAAACCUUAUUUCAAUUGUGUUAUACACAUCAAACAAUUUUGGAGAGCAUGUGGUCAUUGUUCACUACAUAGUUUACAAUAAACUUAGUGUACUAUUAGGAAAAGGAAACAAAGGUGAAGUCCUUGCCUAGUUUCCAUCUCGUUAAGUGGUUUUAACACUUCAACACAAUGAUUCAAAAUCAUCAUAAGUCCAUGUUGAUGGACUAUUUUUUUGUCAACCAACCAUUAUGUUCUAAACAUAAUUACAAACUUUCAAGAGUUGUUACAAGGCAACUCUCAUUUCUUCAUACAACAAUUUGGUAAGUGAAGAAUCAUGGCACAUAAAGUGUCCAUGCCCUUGUGCUUUACUUCUCAAGUUCCUUGUUCAUGUAACAAAGUAACAAGCACUAAGUGUUUGCAUUGAUUAAGGGUUGUUCAAAGCAACUCUUAUUUCUUCAUACAACAAUUUGUAAUGGAAGAAUUAUGACAUUAAAAGUGUUGUCCUCUUUAUGAUAGACCUUUUUCUAACAUAUUCUUCUAACUGAUACAUUAUCAAUAGGAAGAUUGUGAGGAUGAGACUACUUAGGUACAUUUACAAGCCAUUAAAGACAAUCUAUGGUUUUGUAGUACCAAGUCCGGAAACUAAAGCUUUCGGCUUUUAUUUGUCAAGUGUUGGAUAGCGUUUGCAAAUAUAUUGGUAAACAAAUACAUAACGAAUAUUAAAUUGAUUUUAAGCCAUUUGAUUCGGGUCUUUAAAUCAAAUAGCACCACCCACUAUUUUUGGAAAAUUCCAUAUCCCUCAUUGGAAUUCGAGAGUUUUUGAGGAAACUCUUAGUAGGGUAUGGGAGGACUCACUAUUACCAAGCCCACCUCAGAAGAAAACUCCAUAUUGGCUAGCAACAAUAAUAAUGAGAGAGUACGCUUACUCAUUUGCAUCUCUAAUGCAAGUACCCAUCUCUAGUUUGGCCUCUAGAGAAUGAUGCCAUCAGAAGAAUACUCCAUAUUGGCACCAUUGCACUUAGUUAAGUCAUUCCCACCAUGCUAGUUCAAGUAGGGGUUCAAGAAUGGCCUCAGAAGAACUCCAUAUUGGCCACACUCGUUGCCUACCUUUCACUUCAUCAUAUGUUUAUAGGCUUCUCCUGAAUGUAAGCACAUACUUUGCAACCCCAGAACUGGACGAAUACAUUGUACGAGUCACAAACGAUUGAAGCCCACCACGGUGGAAGGCCACGAAAGAGUGUUCAAAGCACUCUCUCACGCUUAUCAACUUAAUAAUGGUUUGGUUGAGGGUUUUAGGUCUCAUCUCAUAUAAACAUUACAUUUUAAUCUCUAUUAAAACAAUUUUGGUCCUAUUACAACUAUUGGUCCAUAUGAUUGUUUUAGUUGUACAUAAUACUCCCACUAUGCUUAUAAAACGGUUUUUUAAAGCAAGAGUAUAUGUUACUACUAACAUAAGGUUUGCAUUCAUUUGAUGGAUUAUAUAGUUGCCUUAGGGCCUUAGGAUGACUAUGAACCUUUGUUUAGAUUCAACACGAGCCUUGUGUUGAAUCUCGGUCUAGGGAUGGAGAUUGAUUUUAGUUACGCGUUUAAUCACAUUAAGGCGUGUUGUCUUAGGGGCGUUGGACCCAAUUACUUCAUUUUCAUGCAUAUCAAUAUAAAGCAAGAAAGAAAUACUUCAAAGUAAAGGAUGAGCUUAUGCUCAUUACAACAUUUGCAUAAAACAAAUUACCUUAAAGUAAAGAAGGACUUAUGCCCUUUUACAACAUUUGAUCAAAUCAAAUUACAACCAAAAUCUAAUCUACACAUUCCCAUGGUUCAAACAAAUUUGAAACGCCUUUCACAUAGCUCAAUUAUAUUAGGCUUAGGUUCAUAAUCAUCCUUUAAUUAAUUAACGUUUUAACUAAUUAAUUGAAUGCAACAUUUUCAUUUGGUUUUUGUAUCCAUAAAAUUGAUUUAAGUGGAGCUAAACAAAAUGAAAAUCCAAUUCUCAUUUAAAGAGACAAAAACAAUUUUGUUCUCAUCCUAUUUGGGCCAUCAUGCAAUAACCACAACUUUUUGGGCCAUAUUGCGAAAACAUAAACUUUUAGGGUCACUUUGUAAAAACACAAAAGUCACUACUUCAUGUAAAUACAACUAGAACCCAAAAUUUAAAUAAAUUCAAAAAAACUUCAUUAAAGGAGCAAAAACAAUUUGUCCUUUAGCGUUUUUAGGCCUUAACGUCAAAACGUAAACUUUCGGGUCAAAGUACAAAUACACAAAAGUAUCAAAACUUUAUGUAAUUGCAUAAAAAGCCCCAAAAAUACCCUAUUUUAUUAGGGUGGCCGGUUUUUAGGGAUAAAAAUGAGUGGUGGGUGUUUUGAUUUAUUAGUUUUGUCAAAAACAAUCAAGUAGUGCUUUCACCUUUCAUAAAAUUAAUAUAUGUUUUGAUGAUUGAUGUUUCCAUCAUCAUUUAUACAAAUAUUUAACACUUUAAAUACUUUCAUAAAAUUAAUAUAUGUUUUGAUGAUUGAUGUUUCCAUCAUCAUUUAUUCAAAUAUUUAAACUUUAAAUACUUUCAUAAAAUUAAUAAUAUGUUUUGAUGAUUGAUGUUUCCAUCAUCCAUUUAUUCAAAUUUUUAAAAUACAAAUACAUAAAUCAUUUGAAAAACAUAUAUAAACUUUAUGAAAUAUUCAAAACUUUGAAUCAAAAAACAAAACCUUUUUGUUCUUGGCAAGAACAUCAAGAACAAUGAAGAACAUCCAUGAAAACCCAUAAGAGCUCCAUGAAUGUUUUCAAGCCAUCAAAACUCAAAAUUUUCAUCAUUCAAAAUGAGGCUAACAUCCUAGGGUACUUAGGGGUUCCAAAAGUCACCUUAAAACCAUUUUAACAAGACAAACAUGAACCCAAAAAAUCACCCUUUGGAUUUGGCCGAAAAUUCCCAAAAUCAUGGCACCAAAUUUUAGCUCCAAUAUUCAUCCUCAUAUGAACUACAUCUACAACAUUUGAGAUGGCAAAUUUUCAAACAAAAUUUACAUUCAAAGAAGCAAGAAUAAAGUUUGUAACAAUUACAACUUUUAAAUCAUAAACUUAUGAACUACAAAACCCAAAAGGAUUCACCAACUACUAGACCUAGGCUCUGAUACCACUUGAAGGAUUUAUUUUGAAAAACAUGUUCAUUUGAGCAACAUCAUAUAUAGCAUGCAAUUAACAAUUAAAAGGCGGAAUCAUGCUUGCAUGCACUCAAAAACAAAACAUUACCAUGAAAUUCAAAGCCUAGUAGAUUGGUGAACCAAUAAUCAACUCAAAACAAAGUGAGUUGAAAUUAAUACCUUUGUAGAUUCCUCUUUGCAUAAGCAAAGGCUAAUCACCCAAAGAGAUAGGGCCUUCAUUCCUUGCUUCUUAGAUCCAUGGAUUUGGAUGGAAGAAUAGGUUCUCUAAGUUCCCAAAAUUGAGAACCUCUAAGUCUCUUCACCAAGGUUUGAUUGUAGAAGAAAAUGAGUGACCUUGGAGUAGUAGGAUUGCUAGAUGUACCCCCUCCAAGGUGUUAGCUUCUUUUAGAGAGAAAAUGGAGAGACAAUUCUCUCCCAUUUUCACCCAAAAUAAACCCUUAAUCACAUUAAUGAAUAUUUGGCUAUAAAGUCAUUUAUAUAGUCACUUCUUUAAGUGACCUAAACAACCAAAACCCUAAUUCAUACACAUAUGGCCGGCCAUUUAGGGAGUUUUGGGCUUUUGGGCCUUAAUGAAUCUUUAUUCAUUAAAUUGUCAUACAACUUAAGUUAAUGGGCUUGACGUUCGAAGCCCAUUGGGCCUUAAGGUCCAAAACUAUCCCGAAGUCUUUAACGAACUUAUUCGUUUGAUUAAUUAACAUAUUAAUUAAUCCUUGCCAUAAAUAAAUGAUUAAACCAUUUAAUCAUUCUUACUCAUUUCCGUUUAAUCUUCAAUCUCUACCUUUUAUGGUGUGCGAUCCAUUAGGUUCCUUUUAGCGAGGCAGUGGGUGAUUAAAACAAUUUUACAUCGAUUGUGAAUUGAAACAAUUUUCAAUUCUCCCUUUAGUGGUUAUACACGUAUAGGGCUUCCACAAACCAUGGUUGACGCCUAGCAGCAUGUCAUGGUUACCCAAGCUAAUCAGAAGAGGUUAGAGAACCUAUUCAGUUCGGGAUUACAAAUGCAAUACGGUCCUUCUCUAAUCUAAUACUCUUGACCACAUUGUUUGGUAUGAUAGUUUAUUUACUCAUGUCUACUAUCCAAUGUGAAUCGUUUGCUUAUAUGAUUUUCCUUGAAUGUGAUUUGGAACGCAUUCCCCAAUCUCAUUCAUACUCUGGCCAGAGAUUCCAAAUCAUAUCAUAGAGUAUUCUCCCUCAACUGUUUGAAGGUUAGAGAUCCCUUGUUGCGCAUUUACUUGUCUCCAUAGCUAAGUGGCUUAACCCCAACGAUGUCGUGACACCCCUAGGGGGUGAAUUAGACAUAAUCAAAGAUUAAGGACUUGACCACAAGACAACUGUGAUGCCUCAGGUCAAAGGACUACUUUGCAUUAUCCCAACCAUGAGUUCUCAUGU
rnacentral:lncRNA from 1 species